GCUGUAGCUCAGUGGUAGAGUAUCUGAUUUGCAUGAAGAAGAUCCCAGGUUCAAUCCCAGACAUCUCCA